UUAACCUGUACAGUGGGGUAGUGGCUGUCUCCCCGUCGCUCGCAGGCGACCCAGCUUUAUACACGGUCUUGUGGAAUGUGGAGGGGUGCCAUAACGUGUCAGAGGUGGAGAGGCGGAAGGGAGAGAUGUGACGGUGUAAACAGAGUGAGACGUCAUAGGAGGAAGGUGUGAGCUACCGCAUUCCGUGUGAAUGUUUAGGCGUGGGGGUGGUUUGGACUGCGAAAAGAUGUGUGCCAGUUUUUGCUUGGAGUUUGCCCUCUGCUUCAAGAGUAUGCAAACAUUUCCUACAGUAUUCCUCAUGCAGAAGAGUCUCAGGCGGAUAACCGAAGCCCUCUUUCAGUAGAAGGAGGUGUUGUUACCUCAGAAAAGAAAGAUGUUGUUGCUUCAUCUCGUAGACUAGAACACAGGGUAGUAGUGCCAGCUAUAAGUUUGGAAGUUCCUGACUAAGUGAAAAAACAGGCAGUAAGGAUUAAUGAGAUAACCAUAAAUGAUACAAUUUGCUCUACAAAUAGAUGGGCAUUCAACUUUCCUAAAAGAUUUAGCUAUUCAGUAUAGAAGUAUAUAUUUAUUACAAUUUGAUAUCUCUCAAGUCAAAUUAUUUUUAUUGGUUUGAAAACAGAAAGUGUCUUGCUGAUCAAACUUCGGAGAGGAUAAAAUUCAUAUUUGAUACUUGAAAAUAUACACAGAGCUUUUGAUAUAUUAAGAAAUUCUUGGAUGUCUAUUGAUCUGUUUCCCUUGUUAUAGAAAUUUCAUACCAUUCUUUUCCUUAUCUUAAUACUAGCAAAAGAUAUUUCGUACUAUAAGAAUAUUUUUUAGUCCUCAAUGUAGCCAGCAAUAUCAGAGGCUAUUUUGAUCUCGGAAGCUAGGUAUAAAAUUUCAGUAUGGCGCUUUUUUUUUUUUUUUUUUUUUUUUUUUUUUUUUUUUUUUCAUAUAUUCAUAUGUAGGUUUACUCAUUAUACAUCAACUAGGUUUUUUAUUCUUACUUUUAUUAUGACAAAUCCAUUUUCACUAAUAGAAAUAUAUAAAAAUUAUGGAGAAACAUGAUUUCGACAUUACCCACUGGGACAACAAUACCUGUUGUUUUAAGUAGUUUUGUGAACUUUUUACAACAAAAAAUAUUUGGGGUGAUUUUGAGUAGCACCAAAGUAUUUAUAUUCUUACAAAGAGCAUUUGUUAGUUAGUGUUCACUGUAUCCAGCCCAAUUAAAAUUAUGAAAAAUGUUUUCAAUUUCACUUUUCUGUAAAGGUCAUUCAUAUUUAUCUUUUUCUGAUGCAGAAAUGUUGAUAUCUAAAGAACAUUUUGAGUGUAAAGUAAUACUUUUAGAGAGUUUCAAAAGCAUACAUGGGUAAUUAAGCCUUAGCAUACUUUCUGUGUUCAUUGUAUGUCAGUAAUUAUGAAUGACUGCUUAAUGCUAUUGUGAAGAAACAUUUUUGAAUAUUCUUUUUACUUUCUCACACCCCUAGAGUUACUUAUAAACUGAUCAGUCAAGCUCAGAUGUAAGCUGUUAUGGUAUUCCAAUUCACUUGUUUCUUCUAGGGGGAAAAAAAUAUAUAUAUGCUUAUGAUGCCACAGAAGAACCUUAGAAGUAAGGAGUCUAAUGUUUUCAUCAUAUAUACAGUAGAAGCAUGAAAAUGUAGAAUUGCAGUGAUUCGAUUAACAGUGUUCCUAUCUUUAUUAUACAUUCAGUAAUUCUUGUAGCAUCAUGAUUUCAGCUAAGUAUACAAAAGAAUAACAAUGACUGCACUACUAUAUAUAUUGAAAUAUAUGAUAAUGGAAAUAAUGGUAAGAAUUUCUUAUUUAUCAGUAUGGACAAUAUUCAAGUUAGAUAACCUUUCUAUUUUUGGUGCUUUAAUUUUAUAUAUCAUUAUUUCCAUAUAAAUAUAUAUGGCAAUUACAGAGCUUUAAAUGUUAGAAGGUAAAUGUAACUUUAAGAUAAAAGGAAAAUAGGUGCCUACUAAUUUUGAACCAUAUAGAAUUAGGAAUGUAUUUUGUACAAUAUUUAGAUACAGGUAGUAGAGAAGUGUAGGCAUUUUCUAAUUAUUCAAAAGAAAAGUAUGAGAAAGAAAGAUUACCUGGAAUUGCAGUUCAAGGGAUAAAGUGGAAAUUUUGGUUAGUUUUAUGUGUUUUUUUACAUUCUUUUAUUUAUAUAUAAUGUUUAUAUAUUUAGAUUGAUAAAGUGUUGAUAUAGGCAGUUGUAAAACAGUCUUGCCAUCCCAACUUCAUUCCCAUGAAAGGCCAAAAGUAAUCACAUAUGAGAUCUAGUUACCAAUAUAUUUUCAUUGAAUGAUGAUUACUUUAAAUACUAUUUUUUCAGAUUUUGCAUAUCUGUCAGUAGGAUAUUUGUAUUUAAUGCAUGUAGAAUACAAGAAAAUUGUAUACUUGUCCACUUCAAUUUUGUGAACUCAAGGAAUUGGUCAUGGGUAGACUAUUCAGUUCACAGAGAAACAGCUGCAAAUGUCUUUACAGUGUGUAGAUAGCAUCUAAUGCUCCAUCCCCACCAUGCAAAAAGUCAUUGUUUAUGAUAUUAUUAGUAAUAAUAACAUGGACCAUCUCAUUACUAACUUGCAGUUUUUCAGCUUGUCUCCCCUAUCAUUUUUUCAUAACCAAAGAUGGAAUAGGCCAAAAAUGGCAGCAGGUCAGAAGCAUGUAGUUAGUAAUAUGUCAGGCUUCACCUCAGGUCACUCACUACAGCAUAGUGUUCAUGACAGCAGAAGUACAUCAAAAAUCAUUUUUAGAUUGCUUUUGUAAUUUAUCAUCGUGUUACUAUAGCAUAUAACCCAAGUGAUUACAUGAUUAUAUUAGAUAAUUUAAAUUUGUUUACUAGAUAUUAUGAUGUGCUUUCUGUUUAUUUAUAAUAAAUUCCAAAAGGUACAAUUUCAAGAGGCCAUUGAAGACUAGAGUUAAAUUAGCAGUUAGUUUGCCUGUACAAAGAAAAUACUGAUGUUACCAAGUUGUAUUGGCUGAUGGAAAUAUACCCCAGUGAUGGGAAAUGAGUUGAAACAAAUUUAAACAUCAAUGGCUUUUCAUGCCUUUUGUUCAUGUGUAGGGACAGUUAUUAGAUAAGUUUUGGAGAUCAGUAGUUUUAGAGGUUUGAGUAUCAAAUCUAUAUUAGAAAUAAAAAGCGGUAUUAUUGACGAGGUUUAACAAGGUCCAUCUAUUAAAUCAUACUUUGAGGCAAUAAGAAGAAAAAAAUUACAGUUUUUGAUAUAGCAAUGUUUUUCAGAUAAGCUUAUACCAAAUCCCAAAGCCUAUAAUUAUGUGAACAAUUUUUUGGCCAUAAGUUUGGCUUACUAUUUGAAAUGCAUGGUAAGUUAUUGUUGUGAUAGUAAAAUAAAAUAUGAUUUUUUUUCAAACUGACUGAAAGAUAA
rnacentral:lncRNA from 1 species